ensembl:lncRNA novel transcript
UCAGUUGGAAAUGUGGAAAUUACCCAUCUUCUCUGUCAAUCAUGCUGGGAGCGGCAGACUGGAGCUGUUCCUACUCAGCCUUCUUGGAACAGAGCCCCCCUCACAAAGGACUUUCUCUGGCUAACUCUGAUGCUUUUCUGAGUUCUUACCUAAAUUUCCCCUUCUCCUUCUGUGGCCCUGCCAGUUUUGUUUUGUUUUGUUUUGUUUUGUCCUUAUCACUACCCUUGCUGCCUCCUCAAAUUAUCCAGAGCCACUGUUGUUUUCUAGAACAUUGGCAAGCACGUUGAUAGAGUGCCCACAUUGUACUGAACUCUGAGGGGAAUAGUCUCGUCCCCAUCACUCAGGUGGGGAAACUGAGCAGGAGGCCACUGGAGGCUCCAAGGGCUCUGAAAUGUUGAGAACUUCCCUGCAGGUACCAGCGAAGAGGGCAAGAACACAGCACUACUUCCUUGGAUACUGUUUCCCUCCUCAGAGGGGUUUUCUGAGCUGCCCUGGGUCCUGUGAGGAAGGCAGAAGUCCUAGCAGAGUAUGCCCACGCUGGUUAGUGCUGCUGCAAAGAUGAGCCGAAGACCAUGAGAGACCUCCAGGUGGUCCUUCUGGGGAGAAGAAAUGGGUUUUGGCCCCAAAUCCUUCUGCUGCAUUUUUCCCCUAUCCCUGGGAAGCCAUGAGACCUCAAACCUGUGUUCCCAAGGAGGCGAGCUGCUGUUCCCAGGUGAUGAUAUGAUGUGCUUGGGGAAAGUAAGUGGCUGCCAGACAUGGCUGAGAGCUGUUGUCACUGCCGUCAAGUGCAUGUCUCCAAGCCAUAUCACACGGCGUCCCUCGAUGUGAGGCCACAUGGCAAGUGGGCCGUGGAUCUCCCUCUGCCCUUUGCAAGCACGUAAGACAGCAGAUUUUGCAGAUACCUUGUGGCGCAGGGGAAUUUCCUUUGGCCAGGUCUGAAGAAAUAAAGCAGCAGGCACCGAGAACAAAGCCAAGGCUUUCAAAAGACAAGGAGCCAAAAAACUUACUCAAAAUAAAAGUAGUUUUAAAAUG